rnacentral:lncRNA from 10 species
CUCAUAUUCUAUGAAACAAUAAAUUUUCAUAUUUGUCUAAGCUAGCUGAUUUAGCAUUCUCUCACAGCUGGAAGAGAUCUGUUUAAUUUAGUUUUCUCCACAUUUCAACUUUUUCUCCACCUCCAAAAGCAUAAUAGAUACAAAGCUUAAAUCUAUUUUUUUCUCUUUUUCAGAAGGUUUCCAAUAAUCUUAGUGAUGAGAAGGGGAGAGAAUGACAACCGUCGUGAAUGCAGAAGGUCAGUGGGACAGCACUGCUCACUAUCACGCAAACUUGAAGACUUGGGAAUCCGUCCAAGAGUAUCCUAUGUGAACAGUGUUCCCUUGUUGAGCUACUUAAUUGUAUCCCUUCCUAAGUGUAAGAACAAAGCUAUACAUUCUGGAUGAUGAGGCCACCCUAUUCAUUCACCUGGUGCUCUGGCCGCUUAAGGAUUUCAUUGCCUUUUAGAAGUUGAACUAGUCACUGGAUAUUGUCUUUUAUCAUUUCAAAUGUGAUAUUUUUAAACGAAAAACUUGCUCUGUUGUCCAUAUUUAUGAAUUGUUGGGGUAGGGAGAAAAGCCUUCCUUUCCCAGAUUUUAAACUUGUAAUAAAUAAACUUUAUUCUUAAAUAAAGUUUUAUAAUUCUUAAUAGUUAUUUAUAUUUUUUAAAGCCUAAGUCCUGAUCCACAG